GAUGAGCUCGGCUACUAGGCUAUGUCUGAAUGAGAUUAUGAGCUCGUUAGCUGAGCCUUUUCCAUAUUGGCAAGUUGUGGACUCUUAUUGGGUUUUGCAUGUUGGAUUUGGCUCCGAUUUGAUGAAUUAUUUUUUCUUAUUUGGUGAAUGUAUUUUAUCUAUAAAGUAGUAAGUAAAUAGCUAUUCCUGGAAUAAUAAAGGAAUGUCGAAGUUGAUUCGGCUUUUUAUGGUGAAAAGAAAAAAGAUCAAUCCUUCUGUAUUUUGGAAUGCUAGAUAUAGGUACGGUGCUCGUAUUGUUUUCUUCACUUGAGUUAACUGCCCCACAUCAUUCCUGCUUCUUUAUUUUAUUUUCCCCAAAGAAGUUUAAAUAUGGGCUACGGUGCUCAUCAAAUGCAAUAGAUUUUGGAAAUUUAAACAAAGGUAUUUUCUGAUAUUACUAGAGGGCUACGGUGCUUGUGCUGGAGUUUUUACUGCCCCACCUAUCAAAUUGCGGUGGUCAUAUGCAAAGAAAAAUCACUAAAAAGAGUAUCAUCAAUAUUCCAAGAAAGACGGUCCUUCCAAAAUCAUCGAGUUAAUGGACCACAUACCGAUACUGACAUUAAUUGUGUUUUCUUAUGGAAUCACACUAUUGCCGCUCCCAACACGGCAAAGUGACUCAGGUGGUGAUUUUGUUGUGGUAGCUGGAGGUGGAGGAGUGAGGGAGGUUGGUGUGAUGGAUAUGGAGUUAUCAGUACUACUAGUUGUGCUCUCAUCUACGCAGCUUCCAUCCAUUUCUUUUUUGUUGUUGUUGUUGUUGUGAAGAGAGAGGAGCAAGCGAGACAGAGACAGAGAGGGAUGAGGUGUUUUUGUUGACUAGAACUAGAGGUAUGAUUUGAGAAUAUAUAUAGAUAGAGGGUAGAGGUGUUGGGUAAAGUUUUGGGCUUUUAAUUUUAAUUUUUGAUUUUAUGAGUUAAAUUAAGAAAUACGGGGUGGGGUGCACUGUGUAGUCUUGGGAAGAUUCAUGGAGUUAGGGUCGUAGUAUGUGUGUGUGUGUGUGGAGGGUUGUGUAUGUAGGUAGGGUGGGGCCUCCUUCUUAUUACCAUAGGCAUGCUGGAUAUUUUUCCAGGACAUUAAACCAAAACACUGUCAGUCUCGACUCAACUACUUCAAGGAAAGUUUGCCAAUUGCGUGUCUUGGAAGCAACCGGAUUAUCUACUCUAUGAAACAAAGGGCCUACAAGACGGGAAUGAGUCCAUGAAAAAGCCAUGCACUUAAUUCUUUCAUAAAUUUCGCAGGCAAGCAUUAGACGCAAACAUCGCCUACAAGACGCGAGCAAUUAUUUUCUACACGGUCUCUUUCCAUGAAAGGAUGGAUUGACUGCCUGGCCUUCUUAGUUUUCAAAUGCCACUGUUCGUGAUAAAAAAUAGAAUGCCUGUUCUUUAGGGUGACAGAUUGUUGAGACCAAUAAAAACAAACUGAGAAGUACGAGAAACCAAUGGUGGUGAAAUUUCAUGUUCUAUUUUUCACCCAUCAACUCACAUUGUUCAAGUUCCAUUUUAUUUGACGCUGCUUCACCAUGACAGUUGGCAUUGCAUUUCUUCAGUUCUUAAUUUUUGGUGCUAUGAAUUGCUUAACAGUGUAAGCUAGACAAUAAACACCGGUUUUGGACUUUCUCUACACCACAACUAUAUCAAUCUUUCAAGAUUACAGGUUCGAUCCCUUCAGAAAUUGGGAAUUCGAAGAAUUUGUAUGGACUUUCUCUACAUCACUGGUUCGAUUCCUUUUUCAUUAGACAAUUUAAGAAACUUGGCAUUUCUAUAUCUCUCUUAUAACCAAAUCAACGGAUCCAUCCCUUUGAAAAUAUGGAACUUGGCAAAUUUGAAAGCAUUAGAUCUCAGUUCAAACAAUAUCAGUGGUUCCAUUCAUAUCACAGUAGGCAGUUUAACUCAAGGUUCUCAAUUCCGUUCCGGUUUACAUUUUGUUUUUUCAAUUGAAAUGACAUGUUUCGCUUUCAAAGCAUUUCAACAUGCCGUUUCGGGAUUGUACUGUUUAUAUGUGUGUAUAAUUCAAAAUAUUAAUUCAACAAACAUAAUUUCAAUUCAAAUUGAAAGAUAAACUAACUUGAAAUUAUGCUUUUCAAAUUUUAAACACAAGUAAAAAAAAAGGGAGUUGAAUCAAUAUGACUCGAUCAACUAAAUGGGUUUGAAGAUAGUCUGAACGAUUGGUAAAAAUAUAGUUUGACUAAAACAAAUUCAAGAUUACAUAUUUUUUCUUAAAAAAUAUUAAGACGAGAAUAUAUUGGAUCGAUUCAGGUUAACCUUUCAAAUUCGUGACCUCGAUAAUGAGACCAUGAUAACCCUAAAUAAAACAAACCAAAAUAAGUUAUGAAUCUCAAUUACAAGUAAACCCAUUAUUGAAUGAUGAAAGUAGUAAAAAUUCAAUCUAAAAAAAAACAAUAAAAUAACCUUUUUGAACAAAAUUACAAAUUUGAAUAAAAUUAUAAAAAUAUCAUCAGCAGUCUUGCAAGACCUUUUUAAACUCUCAUUACCCUAAAAGUUUAACCUGAGAUUAAAUAAUAUGCAAAGAGAUUCCUCGUAAAAUUUUAACCCGAUUCAUCAGUCGGAUUAAAAGAUGCAAUUGAUACCGUAAAAUUAGAGAGUUUUUUUUUAAAAAAAAAGCAAAAAAAAAAAAAACACUAUUUGGCCGGAAUGGAACCGGAAUGUUCCAGCCAAAACGAAACCAGAACAUUCCGGCUGAGAUUUCCAAAACAGGCCGAGAUUCUGAUUGAGAUGAAAUUUAUUUCGGUUUAUUUUGUUUUUUAAGCUGGAACAAGAAUACUAGUCAUUCCGGACAGAACAAAAUGGAAUUAACAACCUUGGUAUAACCAUUUUGAGAUAUCUAAACCCCUAUUCCAAUCAAAUCAACGGAUCCAUCCCUUUGGAAAUAUGGAACUUGACAAAUUUGGAAGCCAUAGAUCCCGAUUCAAACAAUAUCAGCGGUUCCAUUCAUUCCAGAGUAGGCAGUUUAACCAGUUUGAGAUAUCUUGACCUGUCUUCCAAUCAAAUCAACGGAUCCAUCNNNNNNNNNNNNNNNNNNNNNNNNNNNNNNNNNNNNNNNNNNNNNNNNNNNNNNNNNNNNNNNNNNNNNNNNNNNNNNNNNNNNNNNNNNNNNNNNNNNNUCAUCGAGACAUAUCAAACAAUAUUGUUCUGUUGAUUCAGAAUCCAAGUCUUUUGUUGCUGAUCUUGGUGUGGCUAGACUUCUCGAUCCUGAUUCGUCGAAGCAUACCGUACUUGCUGGUACCUAUGGAUACAUUGCCCCACUUAAAACUAUUUCUUCUCAAUAGACAUUGAUGGGAAGGCAUCCGGGAAAUUCCUAUCAUCAUAUGCUCAGGUUAUUACACUAAAAGAAGUGUUAGAUCCUCGUUUGUCACCUCUAACACAAAAAAUUGUCAUACAAAAUAUAUGUAUCAUUGCAACUCUGGCAUUUUCUUGCUUACUUUCGAAUCCAAAAUCUUGACCUUCAAUGAAAUUCAUGUCUCAAGAAUUUUAUCUCGUAAGAGAUCAUUGUGGCAGGUCUUGAGAUUUCUUUGCUGAAGCUGCGAAAUCUUAGCAUGCACAUAAAUGUAGGAGAGAUCAUGGUUCCUUGCUGAAAAUAUCAACUUUGAUCUCAUAUUGAACUGAGCAAGAGCCUCGAAGAGCAUGCAUGUUUGAUAAUGUUUUCACUAUUUCCACUUCAUCUACAAGACGUGGGCAAUUCGGAUUGACUAAGAAUCAAAUCCACAAAUUAAUGGCACGUACGAUGAUCAGAAUACCACUAUGUAUUAGCAUUAUUUUUCUACUCGGUCUCUUUCCAUGAAAAUCAGGGAGAAUACAAUUAACUGAUUGGCCUUCUUAAUUUCCAAAAUCCACUAUUGGUGAUUUGUAAGCCUUUUUCUUAAUCACAACGCGUGAAAGACCAGUGAAAGACCAGAGGAACUUGACUUGGAAUGAGUUCAUGAAAAAACCAUGCACUUCAUUCAUAAACUUAGCAUUAUCAUAGCAUUAGACACAAACAUGGCAUCCAUUGAUUAUGAGCCAAAACUUCUUGCAAUUUUAAGCAUCUCAAUUUUCUUGUCCUGUAUUUUUGUAUCUGUGGCUGCACUUGACUCAGCCUUGCUAGCAUCAGAAGGAAAGGCUUUGGUUGAGAGUGGAUGGUGGAGUGUCAACAGAAACCUCAUCUCAUUUCGUUGCAUGUGGCUUGGCAUAGUUUGUGAUCGGGCUGGAAACAAAUCCCAAGCAGCUAUUGAGUCUUUUUAUACCAGCGCGGGAUUUCAAAUUCUUGCAAGAAUCGUACACGAUUGGAUGGUAAUAUCACUAACGAUCCAUUUUUUAUUUUCCUAUAAUUAUUUUUAAAGUUGUUUUUUAUUUAAAAAUAUAUUUAAAUAAUAUAUAUAUAUAUAUAUAUAUAUUUUAAAAAAUUUAUUUUUAACAUCAAUAUAUAAAAAAAAUCUAAAAUAAUUUAAAACAAUAAAAUAAAAUAAAAUAAUUAUUUUUUUAAAUACUUUUAAAAUCCAAAAAUAAACAACAACCUGACUCUAAAAUUACCAGAAUCCACAAACAUUGUAAUAUUAUUAAUUUUAAUUUUAAUUUAUACUAUUUUUUUGUUCUUAUCUUUAUUCUUUUGUAAUUUAUUUUCUUAAAAAAAUAUUAUAUAAAGACUAAAAAAUGAUAUUUCAAUAUAGCAAUUGCAACAUUGUUCUAUUUUUAUAUUACAUUAAAAAUAAGCUUGAGAUUUUACAUUUCUUUACUAACACAUAUAAUCUUCAUUAUGUUUUAUUAUAUGUAAGCUUUAACUUUUUAUUUCAAAAUUAUAUUUUUUACUCGCCAUCAAAAAACACGUUAAUAACAUUCACACAUUAAUUCAUUUACGUUAGAAAAAAACAAUAAUCAACUUGCAGCUAGGCAAAUAGAAUAGACACGUUAAUAUUUUUUUUUCAUUUAUCAGCAGAGAUAAUUCUCGAUUUAUUUAAUUAAAUGCAUGUAUAUGUCUUUUGAUUUACAAUUAGAUUUCUUUUUGUACAAAAACACAUUUGAAAAGCUUGCAUAUGUUUUUUCUUCCAAAGAAAUUAUCUGACCCGCAGAGAAGUGCAUGUCAAAUAACUAGUAUUAUAAACUAAAAGAGGUGAUGAUUUUAUUGUAUAUCACCUUACAAAACACUAUUCAUUUUAAUAGUGUUUUUUUUUUUUCAAAUCUAUGUUUCUCCCCAAUUUCAUACUUCAACAUUUAAUUUAUUGGAGCUUGGGGUUCAUAAUUUAUUAUGUUUGCUUUAUACGAGGUUAGCCUAGUCUCAUAAUCUAUGUCAUCCUUCAACAUUGUUCAUUUGAGUUUUUUUUAAUAGAUAUGUUUUUUCAAUCUCAUCCUUCAACAUUGUGUUGAUUGAGAAUUAUGCUUAAUGAUUUAUUUUAGUUUAUUUUUUAUGAGGUUAUCACGAUUUCAUGACUCGAGUUACGAGUUUGGUGGGUUAACCCAUUUGACUCGAGUUUUUUUUCAUGUUUUUUUUAAUUGAUAUUUUUAUAAUUUUAUCUUUCAGCAUUGAAUUGAUUAUGAAUUAGACUUCAUGAUUUAUUUUAGCUUGUUUUCUAUGAGCUUAUCUCGAUCUUAUGACUUGGGUCACGUGUUUUGCAGGUUAACCCGUGUAGACUAAGGUUGUUUUAUUGUGUCCUGUUUUUAGAUUGAAUUUUUUUUCUUCAAUUUCAACCUUCAACAAUAGGUUUAUUGAAUAUUGAGCUUUAUAAUUUGUUUUGAUUUGCUUCUAUGACUCAUGUUAUUUUUUUGUUUACUUUCUAUAAGGUUAUUUUGAUUUCUUGACCCGGAUCACGAGUUUGACAAUUUAACUCGGGUUAUUUUUUUUUGUCAUUUUUUAUUUUUUUUUCAAUUUUAUUCUUUAGCAUUUGAUUGAUUUGGAAUAAGGCUUCAUAUUUUUGUUUUGGUCUUGCUUUUUAUAAAGUUAUCCCGGUCUCAUUACCAGGGUCAUAGUUUGAUGAGUUAACCCGAGUUGACUUAGGUCUUUUUUGUUUUUAUUUUUUUAAUUUUAUCCCUAAAAAUUGAGAUUUCUUAUCUCGAGUCGUAGGUCAACUCAGGUUUGUUUGUCAUUUGUUUAGUUUAAUUUUUUUUUCCUUAAUUUAUCCUUCAAUAUUGGGUUGAUUUGAGAUUAAGCUUCAUAUUUGUUUUUACUUUCUAUGAGGUUAUCUCGAUCUUAUUACAUAGGUUACGAGUCUGACUGGUUAACUUGAGUUGACUCAAUCUUUUUAAUUGUUUUUUUUUUCAAUUUCAUCCUUCAACAUUGGAUUGAUCGAAAAUUGAACUUCAUAAUUUGUUUUGAUUUGUUUUAUAUAGAGUUAUCUCAGUCAUAUGACACGAGUUGUAGUUUUGACAGGUUAACACAAGUUGACUUUAGUUGUUUGUUUUUUGGUCUCUUUUUUUAUUGAUUUUUUUUUAAUUUUAUCUUUUAACAUUGAUUUAAUUGGGAAUUGAGUUUUAUAUUUGGUUUUGAUUUGCUUUCUAUGUGGUUGUUCCGGUCUUAUGAUUCGGAUUGAGAAUUUGACAAGUUGACCCGAGUUGAUCCAAAAUAUUUUCAACUCAAUAUUUUUUUUAAAACUUGCCAUCUUAAAUUUUUUUAGUAAAACAAUAUUUUUAACAGUUUUUCAGGUUGUCUUUGGAUCUGUUAAGUUAACCGGGUCAUAUCAAGUUAACCCUUACAUGUUUUAAUUUUUUUCAACUAGAAAACACGUUAAUAACACCUAGAUAUUUUUUGCAUUAAAAAAAUUAAUCUGACGUGCAACAUAGUGCGGACAAUGAUCUAGUCUACUCUAUUUAUGAAAGUAAGGGUCCAAGGGGUUGUUUGAGAGUGUGGUAGUGAUUAUUUUUCAAAGUGUGUUUUGCUCAGAAAUGCAUUAAAAUAAUUUUUUUAUAUUUUUUAAAAAUUAUUUUUGAUACCAACACAUUAAAAUGAUCUAAACACAAAAAAAAAAUAUUAAUUUGAAAAAAAGAAAAAAAUUGCAAAAUUAUUUUAAAAAUACUUUUGAUAGGCAAAAAAAAAAAAAAAGAGACCUUAAAAGAGAUGGAAUAAGGAUAGACUAAGAAUGAAAUCCACAAAUUAAUGACAAGAGGAUCAUAAAACAUGUAUUUGGAUUAUUUUCUGCUCGAUCUCUUUCCAUGAAAGUCAGGGAGAAUAGAUUAACUGACUGCCCUUCUUAAUUUCCAAAUGAUACUAUUGGUGAUUGGUGAACCUUUUUCUCCUUUGCCUUAGUUAUUGGAAUUGAUAGAAUUAAAAGUCCUGCAGUGAACGCAUGGACCCAUGGAUCAUCUGUGGUUUCAAAAGACAGAAAGAAAAGUACACAUGAAACACAGACGAUCUUGACUUGGAACGAGUCCAUGAAAAAGCCAUGCACUUCAUUCAUAAACUUAGCAUUAUCAUUGAAGGCAAGCAUUACACGCAAACAUGGCAUCCAUUGAUUAUGAGCCAAAACUUCUUGCAAUUUUAAGCACCUCAAUUUUCUUGUCCAGUAUUUUUGUAUCUAGUACUGGUCUUGUGGCUGCACUUGAUGACUCGGCCUUGCUAGCAUCAGAAGGCAAGGCUUUGGUUGAGAGUGGAUGGUGGAGUGACUACAGCAACCUCACCUCACAUCGUUGCAACUGGACUGGCAUAGUUUGUGAUGGGGCUGGAAGCAUCACUAAGAUUUCCCCACCUCCAGAGUUCCUCAAGGUGGGAAAUAAGUUUGGAAAGAUGAACUUUUCUUGCUUCUCAAACCUUGUCCGUCUCCACCUGGCCAACCAUGAGCUCAGUGGGAGCAUCCCGCCUCAAAUUUCUAUCCUUCCACAACUCAGAUACCUCAACCUGUCCUCAAAUAAUCUAGCAGGUGAGUUACCGUCUUCACUUGGAAAUCUCAGCCGAUUAGUUGAGCUUGAUUUUUCUUCCAAUAAUUUAACCAAUUCCAUCCCUCCAGAACUAGGCAAUCUUAAAAAUCUUGUUACUUUGAGCUUGUCUGAUAACAUCUUCAGCGGCCCAAUCCCUUCGGCACUUUGUCAUUUGGAAAAUCUAAGGCAUUUAUUUAUGGAUCAUAAUAGUCUCGAAGGUGCCCUCCCUAGAGAAAUAGGGAACAUGAAAAAUCUAGAGAUUUUGGACGUGAGUUAUAAUACACUUAAUGGUCCAAUCCCUCGAACAAUGGGUAGUUUAGCCAAGUUGAGGUCUUUGAUCCUUUCUCGCAACGCAAUCGAUGGAUCCAUUCCUUUGGAAAUAGGAAAUUUGACGAACCUUGAAGAUUUAAAUCUUUGCUCUAAUAUCCUAGUUGGUUCAAUUCCUUCAACGAUGGGUCUUUUACCCAACUUGAUUUCUCUAUUUCUUUGUGAGAACCAUAUCCAAGGAUCCAUUCCUUUGAAAAUAGGAAAUUUGACGAAUCUAGAAUAUUUAGUUCUUGGCUCUAAUAUCCUAGGUGGUUCAAUUCCUUCAACUUCGGGCUUUUUAUCCAAUUUGAUUUUUGUAGAUAUUUCCAGUAACCAAAUCAAUGGACCCAUCCCCUUAGAAAUAGGAAAUUUGACGAAACUACAAUAUUUAAAUCUUGAUGACAACAAGAUCACUGGUUUGAUUCCUUUUUCAUUAGGCAAUUUAAGAAACUUGACAACUCUAUAUCUCUCUCACAACCAAAUCAACGGAUCCAUCCCUUUAGAAAUACAGAACUUGACAAAGUUGGAAGAAUUAUAUCUGUAUUCAAACAAUAUCAGUGGCUCGAUUCCUACUACAAUGGGCCGUUUAACCAGUUUGAGAUUUCUAUCCCUCUAUGACAACCAAAUCAACGGAUCCAUCCCUUUGGAAAUACAGAACUUGACAAAGUUGGAAGAAUUAUAUCUGUAUUCAAACAAUAUCAGUGGCUCGAUUCCUACUAUAAUGGGCAGUUUAAGAAAACUAAACCUUUCUCGAAACCAAAUGAAUGGACCCAUCUCUUCAUCUUUGAACAAUUGUAAUAAUUUGACCUUGCUAGAUUUGAGCGGCAAUAAUUUAAGUGAAGAGAUACCCUACAAUCUAUAUAAUUUGACCUCUUUACAAAAAGCGAAUUUUAGUUACAAUAAUCUCUCAGGCCCUGUUCCCUUGAAUUUGCAACCACCCUUUGAUUUUUAUUUCACAUGUGAUUUACUUCUUCAUGGGCAUAUUACCAACGAUUCUGCAACUUUUAAAGCUACUGCAUUUGAGGGCAACAGAUAUUUACACCCUGAUUUCUCAAACUGUUCGUUACCUUCAAAAACCAACAGAAUGAUUCAUUCCAUCAAGAUAUUACUUCCUAUCACUGCCAUUUCACUUUGUCUCUUGUGUCUCGGAUGUUUUUAUCUAUCUCGAUGCAAGGCUACCCAACCUGAGCCAACAUCAUUAAAGAAUGGAGACUUGUUUUCCAUAUGGAAUUAUGAUGGGAGGAUUGCAUACGAAGACAUCAUUGCAGCGACCGAGAACUUUGACCUCAGAUAUUGUAUCGGAACCGGUGGUUAUGGGAAUGUCUACCGAGCACAACUUCCAAGUGGGAAAUUAGUUGCCUUGAAGAAACUUCAUCGUCGAGAGGCAGAGGAGCCGGCUUUUGACAAGAGUUUAAAAAAUGAGGUGGAACUGCUCACACAAAUACGUCACAGGAGCAUUGUAAAGCUUUAUGGAUUCUGUUUACACCAGCGCUGCAUGUUUCUUGUUUACGAGUACAUGGAAAAGGGAAGCUUGUUUUGUGCCUUGAGAAAUGAUGUUGGAGCCGUGGAACUGAAGUGGAUGAAAAGAGCACACAUCAUCAAAGACAUUGCUCACGCAUUAUCUUACUUGCAUCAUGAUUGCAACCCACCAAUUGUUCAUCGAGACAUAUCAAGCAGCAAUGUUCUGUUGAAUUCAGUAUCCAAGUCUUUUGUUGCUGAUUUUGGCGUGGCUAGACUUCUCGAUCCAGAUUCGUCCAACCAUACUGUACUUGCUGGUACCUAUGGAUACAUUGCCCCAGGUCAAAUAUUUCUUCUUUAUAUACGUGUAUCACUCAUGUCAUGCACACCAACAUUAAAGCAAACUCUCUCUUAUAUAUAUUUUUUUAAUUUCAUUUUGUUUAUGGACAGAGCUGGCUUAUACUAUGGUGGUGACAGAGAAAUGUGAUGUCUAUAGCUUUGGAGCAGUGGCGCUAGAAACGUUGAUGGGAAGGCAUCCAGGAGAUAUCCUAUCAUCAUCUGCUCGGGCUAUUACACUGAAAGAAGUGUUAGAUCCUCGUUUGUCACCUCCGACAGAUGAAAUUGUCAUACAGAAUAUAUGUAUUAUUGCAACUCUGGCAUUCUCUUGCUUACAUUCGAAUCCAAAAUCUCGACCUUCAAUGAAAUUCGUGUCUCAAGAAUUUCUAUCUCCCAAGAGAUCACUGGCAGGUCUUGAGAUUUCUUUGCUGGAGCUGCGAACUCUUGGCAUGCACGCAAAUGGAGGUGAUAUCACAGUUCCUAGUUGAAAAUGUGAACUUUGAGCUCACAUUGAAGUUUAUAAUAUUUCUUAAUUUUGGAAGAACUUCUUUCUUUUAGUACAUUAAAUGUCUUUAUAAUAUUUUAGGGUGACAUUGUAUGUAAUUUUAACAAUGCACACUUUUCUCGUGUACUGUAAAAUCAAUUAGAGCAUCACUGUCUAGGUUAAAUUGAAAUCAUCACUCAUCUUACAAUUAGGCAAAUCCCCACUUGAAAUAUGCAGAAGAUAUUUGUUAACUCCAUUUGUGCCUGCAAGCUCUUGUAUAUUGGAUGCCUGAAAGCAGUGUUUGGAGAUUGAUUUUUUUUCUGACUGAUGUGCUUUGGUAUUGAUCAUUUGGCACAGAUGGGAUUUUCAAUCAUCUUCCAAAGGAAUACCACUUCAAGAUUUAUGUCUCAUGUUUGGAACCGAAAGAAGUUAAAAGAGAGAGUUUUUGUUGUCUCAGAGACAUUUACUAACAGAAAAAAUGAUUUCUUCGUAUCAGCCUCUGGUUUAUAAAUAAAAGAAUGGAACCAGGUUUUUAAGUUGAAAUUCUUUACCAUGAUACCACAUUGAUCAUCCUUAUUCCCCUUCAUGAUAUCUUUAAAUGAGAAAAAGCUUGGAGUGCGCAACUGUCCUGAUGAAGGGCAAUCCUCAGUGUUGCACGUCCCCGCACGGUGAUUUGGUGAUUUUUCACGGUGAUUCGGCAAUUUUUCAUUAUGUUUCCUUGAUUGGUUAUUUAAGAGUCGCCAUCUAGUAUUUGAUUAAAAACUACUAGAAAACCUGAAUAUACUGAUCUUUGUCAGAAAUUUAAAGAUAAGAAACUAAUUAUGACUAAAAAAUAUAUUAGCACCCCUAACACACCCUACCUGAGAUAAGCUGCUUUGUAAUUUGAUGUUCCUUAAGAUAUUUAAUCAUAUUCAAAUUAAACACUUAGUUUUUUUUAUCUUUUUUAUUUUUACAAUUUAAUAACAUAAAUAAAAUACAAACACACACCAACAUUCCUUUUUUACUAUCCUCAACUCACACAUCACUUUUACAUAUUACAAAAUAUCAAAACAAAUCAAAUACUAUAAUCUAAAUAUACACAGCAACAUUUGAAAAUUACAAAAAGCUUCGGGAACGGUGCUGGAGCACUCUGGGCAUCUUCUGUGAUUGUGUACAGUGGCGGCGCGUCUCCUCCACGCGCCGCCGCGAAAUCCGGGCGGCAGCGGAGAUCCAUAAUGGCUUCCUCCCUUCUUCCUUUCUUCGCCGGCGAUGGGCACCACCGUUACCUGCAAAACAACCAAACGCAGCAAGCAAGUCUGUUGUAGCUUUUUCUUUGUUUUCAGUCCGGCUUUUCUUCCUUCCGAUCUGCCAAAUCUGGAGACGGGCGUUGCACGCGCCGCCAGCAGACCAGGCGUGUGGAUGGCUGGAUCGGCAACUUCCCUCCUCCCAUUUCAUUUCUGCAACGGCGGUGUUGUCCACCGCUGUCAUGGUCGUGAGAUCGGCGCCCAUCCAGGUUUCGGUUCUCUGCCCCUUCUUUACUGCCCUUCGGCCUUCCUUCUCAUUUCCUCAUCGUCUCUGGAGAAGGGAUGCUGCCGCUGGCCGAUUGAUGGUGGUUAGCCGAGAGAGGGUCUGAAAGUCUGUUGAUGAGGGAAUAGAUGGUAUUCUCGGCUGGAGGUUUCAGUCGGCUGAGAGGGGGUAAAGUGAGGGGGACGGCCGGCUGGCUUGUUUUUGACAGAGGGCCAGGGGGCCACGGCCGGCCUCUGGUUCUGGGAGCGCCGAGAGAGGGAGGCCGUGGAGGCCGGUGUGCAGGGGAGGUUAGUCUGUGGGCGGCUGAAGAGGGAAGACAAAAUGGCCAAGGGGAGAAGGUGGCCGAGAGGGACAGGGGAGGCUUGCGGCUGUUUUCGUGCUCCCUGAUGCUCUUUUAGCCAAGGGAAGGGCCAAGCUCUGGCUGGUUUCGGGAGAAGGAAAAUGAGGAGAGGCAGGGGGUUUUGCCGUGGCUUUGGUUCUCUUUGUUUUUAGCCAAGGGAGGGGGCAGCCUUGUGAGGGAGAAGAAGAUGGGGAGUGGGUGGUCGCCUGCUUGGAGAGGGAGAGUGGCGGCUCAAACAGGGAAAGAGAGCUUCUCUGUAGGGAAAUGGGGAGCCGACUACAAUAGCAGAGAGGGGUUCUGGUUUCUCCAAGGGAGGGGCGGCCGAGAGCUGGAAUCAGUUUAGGUUUAGGGUUUUUUAGUUUUUGUUCCCCAAAAUUGUCUCCGCCUCCAUGCCUGUAAAAUUUUUCUCUCCUCUCCCCCUUUUUUUUUCACUGUAGCAUGUUAUUUAUAAAAGAAGUUUUGCUAGGUCUUCAAACUAAUCCCUCAACUUUUCAUUUCCUUUUUUUUUUUGUAAAUUUUAAUUUUUUUAAUUUUUUUUAUUUUUAAAAGCAAGCAAUAUCAACAUCAACUCAACAAGAAAAAUCAAUGAUCAUAAAAUUUACACGUUAAAAGUUGAACGCGUUCCAAAUAGCUUUGAAAAUUUAAAUUUUUUUGAGAUAACGUUGAAAAUGCUAAAAACGAUGCAAAUAUAUUAAAAAUAUAUUUUUUAGUAUUUUUUUACUAUUUUUUGGUUUUUUCUGUAAAUUUAUUAAAAAUUGGAUAGCAACACUCAGGACCAACAUCUGUCAUCUCUUUCUGAGGGCAAAGCCCAACCCCAAAACUUGCUUGCCGGAGCACACAACAUCAGGCUCUUAUUAUCAUAUGCUUCACCACUGCACCACCCCUCCGAGCCGUGAAACAACCUCAUUUUCGAAACCUUUCCUCGGUAAAUUAACAUGCUCACAAGUAACCUGAUUAAAGAUCACAGUAGGAUUAAAAGGGACGAAUCACCGAAACAUAAAAAACCAUCACUGAAAUUAAGAACAAUGAGAUUACUACUAGUAAGUCUAAGUUAUUGCUGGAAUGGAGAAUGGGGCGAUAGUAAUCAAACAUUACAAGGUGUUCAUGGACAUGAUAACUAGAAUUGAGUUAAAUUUAUGUUUUAAUACAUAAAAACGUACUUAAUAAUUUUUAUUUUUAAAAUAAUGAUAUAAUAAUCAAAAGCAAAGCAAUGGUAAAUGGCUAGUUCAGAAAAAGCUUGACGGAGCUGAACAAGAUUGAAAAGAAAACAAUAGUUUUUUUUUUUUUUAAAAAAAAAGGUUUGAGAUACUCCAGAGCUAAUUUAUCACAUGAAGACAAAAUAAUUCUCAAUAAUAAUCAAAUAAAUUACAAGAAAAAUAAAUGUUUUCUAGGCCUAAUACAACUUAAUUGUUUAUACUACUAGUUAUAAAAAUAAAUUACAACUUGUUUAAAUAAGUAUUCAACUUAUUUUUACUGAAAAUAAAAAUUCUAAAAUAACCAGAAAAAAUAAAGAAAAAAAAUCCAAAUACAUGUAGAAAAAUUAAGAAAAUAAUGUUGUCUAGGCCUAAUAUGAAAGCCUUCUUGACCUUAACUUGUUACAGUAGCAACCCAUUAAUUAUAAAACAAGGCAUUUAGAAUAUACCGGUAAAAUUCAAAUAAUAUCUAACGACAAGAGCUUAUUUUCGUUAAAAAAUAUUAUUUGGAGCAUCAGAUAUUUUUCUUGAACUUCGAUAGGUCCAUAUAGUCAAUAAAUCGUAUAUGCUAAAUGUUUUAAAUAUAUAGUCUAAUUAUAACAAAUGAUUAUAUGACAGUUCAUAUUCACCUGCAUGAAAGCUCUAUAUAUAUACCCAUUAUCUUGGUGACAAUUGACAAGUCUCAUAAUCUAUGUUGCGAGUUUGGUGGGUUAACUUGAUUGAGUUGAGUAUUUUUUUUUAAUUGAUAUUUUUUUCUAAUCUCAUCCUUCAACAUUGAGUUGAUUGACAAUUAUACUCAUGAUUUAUUUUGGUUUGUUUUUUAUGAGGUUAUCUUGAUUUCAUGAUUCGAGUCGCGAAUUUGACGGGUUAACUCAGUUGACUCGAGUUUUUUUUUUUAAUUUUUUUAAUUGGUGUUUUUUCAAUUUUAUCUUUCAGCAUUGAGUUGAUUAUGAAUUAGACUUAAUAAUUUAUUUUUGUUUAUUUUCUAUGAGAUUAUCCCGAUCUUAUGACUUGGAUCACAUGUUUUGCAAGUUAACUCGUGUAGACUGAGGUUGUUUUAUUGUAUCUUGUUUUUAGGUUGAUUUUUUUUUCUUUAAUUUCAACCUUCAACAAUGAGUUUAUUGAAAAUUGAGCUUUAUAAUUUUUUUUAUUUACUUUCUAUGACUUAGGUUAUUUUUUUAUUUACUUUUUAUAAGGUUAUCCUGAUUUCUUGAUCCGGAUCAUGAGUUUGACAGUUUAACUUAGAUCAAUUUUUUUUGUUAUUUUUUAUUUUUUUUUCAAUUUUAUCCUUCAACAUUUGGUUAAUUUGGAAUCAGGCUUCAAAGUUUUUUUGGUCUUGCUUUCUAUAAAGUUAUCCUAGCCUCUUUACCAGGGUCACAAUUUGGCUAGUUAACCUGGGUUGACUCAUGUUUUUUUUUUUUAAUUUCAUCCCUAAACAUUGAGAUUUUUUAUCUCGAGUCGUAUAGGUCAACUUAGGUUUGUUUGUUAUUUUUUUAGUUUAAUUAUUUUUUUUCAAUUUUAUCCUUUAACAUUUGGUUGAUUUGGGAUUAAGCUUCAUAUUUGUUUUUGCUUUCUACGAGGUUAUUUGGUCUUAUUAUAUAGGUCACGAGUUUGGUUGGUGAACUUGAAAUGAUUCAGUUUUUUUUAAUUGAUUUUUUUCAAUUUCAUCCUUCAACAUUGGAUUAAUUGAGAAUUAAACUUUAUAACUUAUUUUGAUUUGUUUUAUAUUGAGUUAUUUCAGUCAUAUGACCCGGGUUGUAGCUUUGACAGGUUAACCUGAGUUGUUUGUUUUUUGGUCUCUUUUUUUAAUUGAUUUUUUUUUUAAUUUCAUCUUUUAACAUUGGUUUAAUUGAGAAUUGAGUUUUAUAUUUGAUUUUGAUUUACUUUCUAUAUGAUUAUUCUGGUCUUAUGAUUCGAGUCGUGAAUUUGAUAGGUAACCCAAGUCGAUUCAAUAUGUUUUCAUCUCGAUAUUUUUUCAAAAACAUGCCGUCUUGAAUUUUUUUAAUAAAACCAUAUUUUUAACGGUUUUUCAAGUUGUUUUUUGACCCGUUAAGUUAACUAGGUCACUUCAACUUAACCUAUAUAUGUUUUAAUUUUUUUCAACUAAAAAACAUGAUAAGAACACGUAGAUAGUUUUUAACUUUUAAAAAAUUAAUCUGACCUGCAGUACAGCAAGUAGCACUACUCUAUUUAUGAAAGUAAGGGCCUAAAAGACGUGUGCAAUGCGGAUCGACUGAAAUCCACAAAUUAAUGGCAAGAGGAUCAGAAUACAUGUAUUUGGAUUAUUUUCUGCUCGAUCUCUUUCCACGAAAAUCAGGGAGAAUAGAUUAACUGACUGGCCUUCUUAAUUUCCAAAUGAUCAUGCUAUUGGCGAUUGGUGAACCUUUUUCUCCAUUGUGGAAAAAGAAAAAAAAACUAGCUAGACAAUCUGAAGCUAUUGUCUUAGGCAUUGGAAUUGAUAGAAUGAAAAGUCUUGCAGUGGACGCAUAUGCCCAUGCAUCAUCUUUGGUUUCAAAAAGACAGUAAGAAUAGUACACGUGAAAGACCAGAGGAACUUGACUUGGAACGAUUUCAUGAAAAAACCAUGCACUUCAAUCAUAAAUUUAGCAUUAUCAUUGAAGGGAAGCAUUACACGCAAACAUGGCAUCCAUUGAUUAUGAGCCAAAACUUCUUGCAAUUUUAAGCAUCUCAUUUUUCUUGUCCUGUAUUUUUGUAUCAAGUACUGGUCUUGUGGCUGCACUUGAUGAUUCAGCCUUGCUAGCAUCAGAAGUCAAGGCUUUGCUUGAGAGUGGAUGGUGGAGUCAAUACAGCAACCUCACCUCACAUCGUUGCAAGUACUGGCCUGGCAUAUUUUGUAAUAGGGCUGGAAGCAUCACUAAGAUUUACCCACCUCCAGAGUUCCUCAAGGUGGGAAAUAAGUUUGGAAAGAUGAACUUUUCUUGCUUCUCAAACCUUGUCCGUCUCCACCUGCCCAACCAUGAGCUCAAUGGAAGCAUCCCGCCUCAAAUUUCUAUCCUCCCACAACUCAGAUACCUCAACCUGUCCUCAAAUAAUCUAGCAGGUGAGUUACCGUCUUCACUUGGAAAUCUCAGCCGAUUAGUUGAGCUUGAUUUUUCUUCCAAUAAUUUCAUCAAUUCCAUCCCUCCAGAACUAAGCAAUCUUAAAAAUCUUGUUACUUUGACCUUGUCUGAUAACAGCUUCAGCGGCCCAAUCCCUUCGGCACUUUGUCAUUUGGAAAAUCUAAGGCAUUUAUUUAUGGAUCAUAAUAGUCUCGAAGGUGCCCUCCCUAGAGAAAUAGGGAACAUGAGAAAUCUAGAGAGUUUGGACGUGAGUUAUAAUACACUUAAUGGUCCAAUCCCUCGAACAUUGGGUAGGUUAGCCAAGUUGAGGUCUUUGAUCCUUUCUCGCAACGCAAUCAAUGGAUUCAUCCCUUUAGAAAUAGGAAAUUUGACGAAUCUAAAAGAUUUACAGCUUAUAUCUAAUAUCCUAGUUGGUUCAAUUCCUUCAACGAUAGGUUUUUUAUCCGAUUUGACUAAUCUAGAUCUUUCUUAUAACGUAAUCAAUGGAUCCAUCCCUUCGCAAAUAGGAAAUUUGACGAAUCUAGAACAUUUAGAUCUUUCCUCUAAUAUCCUAGCUGGUUCAAUUCCUUCUACAUUUGGUUUUUUAUCCAAUUUGAUUCUUUUGCAUCUUUUUGACAACCAAAUCAAUGGAUCCAUCUCUUUAGAAAUAGGAAAUUUGACAAAUCUAUGUCGUUUGUUUCUCAAAGGCAACAAAAUCAGUGGUUCGAUUCCUAUUUCAUUAGGAGAUUUAAGAAACUUGGCAUUUCUAGACCUAUCUAACAACCAAAUCAAUGGAUCCAUAGCUUCAUCUUUGAAGAAUUGUAAAUAUUUGACCUAUCUAGAUUUGAGCUACAAUAAUUUAAGUGGACAAAUACCCUCCCAACUACAUAAUUUGCCCUCUUUAUCUUAUGUGAAUUUUCGUUAUAAUAACCUCUCAGGCUUUGUUCCCUUGCAAUUGCCACAACCCUUUGAUGUGUCUUUCACCUGUGAUUCUCUUCAUGGGCAAAGAACCAACAGUCCUGAAAUUUUUCAAGCUACUGUAUUUGAGGGCAACAAAGAUUUACACCCUGAUUUCUCACGUUGUUCAUCUAUUUACUCCCCACCUUCAAAAGACAACAGAAUAAUUCAUUCCAUCAAAAUAUUUCUUCCUAUCACCACCAUUUCACUUUGUCUCUUGUGUCUCGGAUGUUGUUAUCUGUCUCGAUGCAAGGCUACCCAACCUGAGGCAACAUCAUUAAAGAAUGGAGACUUGUUUUCCAUAUGGAAUUAUGAUGGGAGGAUUGCAUACGAAGACAUCAUUGCAGCGACCGAGAACUUCGACCUCAGAUAUUGUAUCGGAUCCGGUGGUUAUGGGAGCGUCUACCGAGCACAACUUCCAAGUGGGAAAUUAGUUGCCUUGAAGAAACUUCAUCAUCGCGAGGCAGAGGAGCCGGCUUUUGACAAGAGUUUAAAAAAUGAGGUGGAACUGCUCACACAAAUACGUCACAGGAGCAUUGUAAAGCUUUAUGGAUUCUGUUUGCACCAGCGCUGCAUGUUUCUUGUUUACGAGUACAUGGAAAAGGGAAGCUUGUUUUGUGCCUUGAGAAAUGAUGUUGGAGCCGUGGAACUGAAGUGGAUGAAAAGAGCACACAUCAUCAAAGACAUUGCUCACGCAUUAUCUUACUUGCAUCAUGAUUGCAACCCACCAAUUGUUCAUCGAGACAUAUCAAGCAGCAAUGUUCUGUUGAAUUCAGAAUUCAAGUCUUUUGUUGCUGAUUUUGGUGUGGCUAGACUUCUCGAUCCUGAUUCGUCCAACCAUACUGUACUUGCUGGUACCUAUGGAUACAUUGCCCCAGGUAAAAAUAUUUCUUCCUAACAUGCAUAUUUACCACUCAUGCACUGCAAAACUAAAGCAAACUCUCUUUAUAUAUAUAUUAAUUUCGUUUUGUAUAUGGACAGAGCUGGCUUAUACUAUGGCGGUGACAGAGAAAUGUGAUGUUUACAGCUUCGGAGUUGUGGCGCUUGAAACUUUGAUGGGAAGGCAUCCGGGAGAUAUCCUAUCAUCAUCUGCUCAGGCUAUUACACUGAAAGAAGUGUUAGAUCCUCGUUUGCCACCUCCAACAAAUGAGAUUGUCAUACAGAAUAUAUGUACCAUUGCAAGUCUGAUAUUUUCUUGCUUACAUUCAAAUCCAAAAUAUCGACCUUCAAUGAAAUUCGUGUCUCAAGAAUUUCUAUCUCCCAAGAGAUUAUUGGGAGGUCUCGAGAUUUCUUUCUUGGAACUGCGAAAUCUUGGCAUGCACACAAAUGUAGGUGAGAUCACAGUUCCUCGCUGAAAAAGUCAACUUUGAGCUCACCUGGAACUUCAACGAGAGCCUCCAAGAGCAUGCGUUUAUAGAAUUUCUUAAUUUUGGAAUAAUUUUUUUUUCUUUUGUUUUAGUACACUACAUGUCUUUGUAAUAUUUUAGUGUGACAUUGUAUGCAAUUUUAAUAAUGCACACUUUUCUUGUGCAUGAUAGCUAGUAUCAAUAUACAUGAGCAUCAUAUUAAGUACUCUACCUCUCUGUCUAGCAGGUUAAAUUGAAAUCAUCACUCAUCUUAUAAUUAGGCAAAUCCCCACUUGAAAUAUGCAGAAGAUAUUUGUUAACUCCAUUAAUUUGUCCCUGCAAGCUCUUGUAUAAGAGAUGUCUGAAAGCAGUGUUUGGAUCUACUCUCUACAGUCUGUUCUGACUUCUGUCACUAUCUGAGCAACAUGUUUUGCUCAAUAUUUAUUAUUUGGCAGAGAUUGAAUUUUCAAUCAUCUUCCACUUCAAGAUUUAUGUCUCAUGUUUGGAACCAAGCUUUGACUUCAAAGGAUGGUGAGUUGAGAUGUCCUCCCUCCAUUGUGUAAAUUUUGGAUAUCGGCUUGCCACAAAGUCGACCACCAUAUCUAUCUAGUAAUAAUACACAACAAUAUUGUAGCUGUACAAGAUGCCUAGCUAUAGAUUAUUUUCAGUCUCAGAGACAUUUACUAACAGAGAAAAUAUAUCAUAGUACGUAUCCGAUUAUGAGCACAUGAUUUCUUCGUAUCAGCAUCUGAUUUAUAAAAGGUUGAAACCAAUUUUUAAAGUUGAACUUUACCUUGUUAUCACAUUGAUCAUCCCAUUAAUUUCCCCUUCAUGAUAUCUUUAAAUAAGAAAAAGCUUGUAUAUGCUAAAUGUUUUACAUAGUCUAAUUAGAACAAAUGAUUAUAUGACAGUUCAUAUUCUCCUGCAUGAAAGCUCUAUAUACCCAUUAUCAUGGUGACAAUUGACAAGUCGCCGAUCCAAUUCUGCAAUUAUAUUAGAAUGCAAGGAUAAUAUAUUUAUUUAGGAUUUUAUUAAUUAUCUCAUGGCUAUGUAUAUUCAAUAAUUUCCUUUAAUGAUUACAGCUCCGCAUCAGUUUCUUUCUUGUUCGAGGUUUGUCGGGCCUUCUAUUGAACCAAAACAAAAACAAACUAUUCUAACAUGUCUACGAAACAAAGCCCAAGCAGCUAUCGGCUUAAGCCUUUUUAUACCAGCGCGGGAUUUCAAAUUCGUGCAAGAAUCGUACAGGACUGGUCGGCAAGAUCACUAACAAUCCAUUUUCUGAUUUGUUAGUAAUUAUUUUUUAAAAUAUAUUGAAAUAAUAUUAUUUUAUUUUUUAAAAUUUAUUUUUGAUAUCAUCACAUCAAAAAAAUCUAAAAUUAUUAAAAAUAAAUAAAUUAAUUUAAAGCAAAAAAUAAAAAAAAUAUUUUUAAAACGCAAAAAACAAACAAUAAACUGACUCUAAAAUUACUAGAAUUUACAAGUAUUGUAAUAUUAUUAAUUUUAAUUUAUACUAUUUUUUAUUCUUAUCUUUAUUAUUUUGUAAUUAUUUUCAUUGCAUAUGAAACUUCCGGUUCCACUUCACAAGAAAUAUUAUACAAAGACUAAGAAAAUGAUGUUUUAAUAUAGCAACUACAACGUUGUUCUAUAUUUAAACAACAUUAAAAAUGAGCUGAAAAUCUUAUAUUUCUUUAUUAACGUAUAUGAACUUCACUAUAUUAUAUUAUAUGUAAGCAUUAACCUUUUGUUUCACAACAAUAUUUUUUACUCGCCGUCAAAAAACAUGUUAAUAACACCUACAUAUUAAUUCAUCUGUGUUAGAACAAAAUAAUAAUCAACUUGCAACUACGCGAAUCGAAUAGACAUGCUAAUAUUUUUUUUGUAUUUAUUGGCAGAGAUGAUUCUUGAUUUAUUUUCUUACAUGCAUGUAUAUGCCUUUUGAUUUACAGUUAGAUUUCUUUUUGUACAAAAACACAUUUGAAAAGCUUGCAUGUGUUUUUCUUCCAAAAACAUUAUUUAGCCCGGAGAGGAGUGCAUUUCAAAUAACUAGUAGUAUAAACUAAAAGAGUUGAUGAUUUUAUUGUUCAUCACCUCACAAAACACUAUUCAUUUUAAUAGUGUUUUUCCCUCCUAAAUCUAUGUUUCUUCCUAAUUUUAUACUUCAACAUUUAGUUUAUUGGAGAUUGAGCUUUAUAAUUUAUUAUGGUUUACUUUAUAUGUGGUUAGCCUAGUCUCGUAAUCUAUGUCACGGGUUUAGCAGGUUAAUUCAGUUGAUUUGAGUUUUUUUUAAUUGAUUUUUUUUCAAUCCCAUCCUUUAGCAUUGGAUUGAUUGAUAAUUAUGCUUCAUAAUUUAUUUUGGUUUGUUUUUUAUGAGGUUAUCCUGAUUUAAUGAGUCGAGUCGCGAGUUUGGUGGGUUAACCCAGUCGACUCGAUUUUUUUUUUGUCUUUUUUUAAUUGAUAUUUUUCCAAUUUUAUUUUUCAAUAUUGAGUUGAUUAUGAAUUAGGUUUCAUUAUUUAUUUUGAUUUAUUUUCUAUGAAGUUAUCUUGGUCUUAUGAUUUGGGUCACGUAUUUUGCAGGUUAACACAUAUAGACUGAGGUUGUUUUAUUGUGUCCUAUUUUUAUAUUGAAUUUUUUUUCUUCAAUUUCAACCUUUAACAAUGAGUUUAUUGAAAAUUAAGCUCAUAAUUUGUUUUGAUUUACUUUCUAUGGAUUUAUCAGGUUGACCCGAGUUGACUCAUGUUAUUUUUUUGUUUACUUUCUAUAAGGUUAUCUUAAUUUUUUGACCCGGAUCACGGGUUUGACAGUUUAACUUAUGUCAUUUUUUUUUGUUAUCUUUUAUUUAUUUUUUUAAUUUUAUCCUUUAGCAUUUGAUUGAUUUGGAAUCAGGCUUCAUAUUUUUUUUGGUCUUGCUUUUUAUAAAGUUAUCCCGGUUUCAUUACUAGGGUUACAGUUUGGCGAGUUAACAUGGGUUGACUUAAGUCUUUUUUUUAUUAUUUUUUUUAUUUCAUCAUUAAACAUUAAGAUUUCUUAUCUUGAGUCACAUGUCAACUUAGGUUUGUUUGUCCUUAUUUAUUUAUUUCAAUUUUAUUCUUUAAUAUUUGAUUGAUUUGAGAUUAAACUUCAUCUUUAUUUUUAUUUUCUAUAAGCUUAUCUUAGUCUUAUUACAUAGUUCAAGAGUUCGACUGGUUAACCUGAGUUGACUCAGUUUUUUUUAAUUAAUUUUUUUUUCAAUUUUAUCCUUCAAUAUUGGAUUAAUUGAGAAUUAAAUUUUAUAAUUUUUUUUUAUUUGGUUUAUAAGGAGUUAUCUUAGUCAUAUGACUUAGGUUAUAGCUUUAACAGGUUAACCCGAGUUAACUCGAGUUGUUUGUUUUUUGAUCUUUUUUUUUAAUUUCAUCCUUUUACAUUGAUUUAAUUGAGAAUUGAGUUUCAUAUUUGGUUUUGGUUUGCUUUCUAUGUGGUUAUUUCGGUCUUAUGUUUUGGGUCGUGAAUUUGACAGGUUUACUCGGGUAGAUCUAAUAUGUUUUCGUCUCAAUAUUUUUUAAAAAAACAUGCCAUCUUGAAUUUUUUUAGUCAAACUAUAUUUUUAACGAUUUUCCAAGUUGUCUUUGAGCCCGUUAAGUUGACCUGAUCACAUCAAAUUAACCCCUACAUGUUUUAAUUUUUUUCAACUAGAAAACACAUUAAUGGCAUCUAGAUAUUUUUUGACGUUAAAAAAAUUAAUCCGACCUGCAACAUAGUGCAGACAAUAAUCUAGUCUACUUUAUUUUUGAAAGUAAGGGCCUAAAGGGAUAUUUGAGAGUGUGGUAGUGAUUAUUUUUCAAAGUACGUUUUGCUCGGAAAUGCAUCAAAAUAAUAUAUAUAUUUUUUAAAAAAUUAUUUUUAAUAUUAACAUAUCAAACUAAUAUGAAAACACUAAAAAAAAUUAUUAAUUUGAAGUAAAAAAAAAAUAAAAAAAUUUAAUUUUUUUCAAAAUAUUUUUGAAACCAAAAAAACAUACAAACCUUAAAAGAUGUUAAAAUUCGAAUAGACUUAGAAUGAAAUCCACAAACUAAUGGCAAGAGGAUCAGAAUACAUGUAUUUGGAUUAUUUUCUACUCGAUCUUUUCCCAAGAAAGUCAGGGAGAAUAGAUUAACUGACUGGCCUUCUGAAUUUCCAAAUGAUGCUAUUGGUGAACCUUUUUCUUCUUUGUGGAAAAAGAAAAGGACUAGCUAGACAAUCUGAAGCUAUUGUCUUAGGCAUUGGAAUUGAUAGAAUUAAAAGUCUUGCAGUGAACGCAUGGACCCAUGCAUCAUCUUUGGUUUCAAAAGACAAUUGUGUUGAAAUGCUGCAUUGUUGUAAAGUUAUUCAUCAUGGCCUUGCUUCAUUUUUAUUUUGCUGAGGUAAAAAAACUUAUGUUUGGGGAGCAUCCAGAUCAAAGAUAGAAUGCUUGUUCUUUUGAGUGGCAAAUUCUUGAGACCAAUAAAAACAGAGUAGUUUGAGAAAACAAUGACUCUUGGCAUUCCAUCAACUCACAUUGCUCAAAUUGCAUUUUAUUUGAAGGUGCCUGCUUCACUAUGACUGUUGGCAUUCCCUUUCUUCAUUUUUUAAUUUUUGGCGCUACGAGUUGUUUAACAAUGUAAGCUAGGCAGUAAACACCGGUUUUGGAGGCGCGUGACCUUCCUUAAGGGUUUUGACCACGCGCUUCCUUGGAUAUUUCUAUUAUCCAGAUGAGCUAGGCUACGAGGCUGUGUCUGAAUGAGAUUAUGGGCUCGUUAGCUGGGCCUUUUCCAUAUUGGCAAGUUCUGGACUCUUAUUGGGUUUUGCAUGUUGGCUUUGGCUCCGAUUUGAUGAUUUUUUGGUGAAUCUAUUUUAUCUAUAACGUAGUAAGUAAAUAGCUAUUCCCGGAAUAAUAAAGGAAUGUUGAAGUUGAUUGAAGUUGAUUCGGCUUUUUAUGGGGAAAAGAAAAAAGAUCAUUCCUUCUGUAUUUUGGAAUGCUAGAUAUAGGUACGGUGCUCGUAUUGUUUUCUUCACUUGAGUUUACUGCCCCACAUCAUUCCUGCUUCUUUAUUUUAUUUUCCCCGAAGAAGUUUAUAUAUGGGCAUGGUGCUCAUCAAAUGCAAUAGAUUUUGGAAAUUUAAACAAAAGUAUUUUCUGAUAUUACUAGAGGGCUACGGUGCUUGUGCUGGAGUUUUUACUGCCCCACCUAUCAAAUUGCAGUGGUCAUAUGCAAAGAAAAGUCACUAAAAAAAGAGCAUCAUCAAUAUUCCAAAAAAGAUGGUACUUCCAUAAUCAUCGAGUUAAUGGACCACAUACGUCACUGACAUUAAUUGUGUUUUCUUAUAGAAACAGAAAUGGGCCUUCUUCUUAUUACCAUAGGCAUGCUAAUGUGGCUGAUAUUUUUCCAGGACAUUAAACCAUGUCUGGUAGGGUGCUCUCCCAACACUGUCAGUCUCGACUCAACUACUUCAAGGAAAGUUUGCCAAUUGCAUGUUCUUGGAAGCAACCUGAUUAUCCACUCUAUUUAUGAAACAAAGGGCCUACAAGACGUGGAAUGAGUCCAUGAAAAAGCCAUGCACUUAAUUCAUUCAUAAAUUUCGCAGGCAAGCAUUAGACGCAAACAUGGCCUACAAGACGCGAGGAAUUAUUUUCUACACGGUCUCUUUCCAUGGAAGGAUGGAUUGACUGCCUGGCCUUCUUAGUUUUCAAAUGCCACUGUUCGUGAUAAAAAAUAGAAUGCCUGUUCUUUUGAGUGAAAGAUUGUUGAGACCAAUAAGGAUUGACUACGAAUGACAUGGGCAAUACGGAUUGACUACGAAUCAAAUCCAAAAAUUAAUGGCACGUACGAUGAUCAGAAUACUACUAUGUAUUAGCAUUAUUUUUCUACUCGGUCUCUUUCCAUGAAAAUCAGGGAGAAUAGAAUUAACUGAUUGGCCUUCUUAAUUCCCAAAAUCCACUAUUGGUGAUUUGUAAGCCUUUUUCUUAAUCACAACGCGUGAAAGACUUGGAACGAGUCCAUGGGAAUGCCAUGGACUUCAUUAAUAAAUUUAGCAUUAUCAUUGAAGGGAAGCAUUAGACACAAACAUGGCGUCCAUUGAUUAUGAGCCAAAACUUCUUGCAGUUUUAAGCAUCUCAUUUUUCUUGUCCUGUAUUUUUGUAUCUAGUACUGGUCUUGUGGCUGCACUUGAUGACUCAGCCUUGCUAGCAUCAGAAGGCAAGGCUUUGCUUGAGAGUGGAUGGUGGAGUGACUACAGCAACCUCACCUCACAUCGUUGCAAGUGGACUGGCAUAGUCUGUGAUCGGGCUGGAAGCAUCACUGAGAUUUCCCCACCUCCAGAGUUCCUCAAGGUGGGAAAUAAGUUUGGAAAGAUGAACUUUUCUUGCUUCUCAAACCUUGUCCGUCUCCACCUGGCCAACCAUGAGCUCAGUGGGAGCAUCCCGCAUCAAAUUUCUAUCCUCCCACAACUCAGAUACCUCAACCUGUCCUCAAAUUAUCUAGCAGGUGAGUUACCGUCUUCACUUGGAAAUCUCAGCCGAUUAGUUGAGCUUGAUUUUUCUUCCAAUAAUUUCAUCAAUUCCAUCCCUCCAGAACUAGGCAAUCUUAAAAGUCUUGUUACUUUGAGCUUGUCUUAUAACAGCUUCAGCGGCCCAAUCCACUCGGCACUUUGUCAUUUGGACAAUCUAACGCAUUUAUUUAUGGAUCAUAAUAGACUCGAAGGUGCCCUCCCUAGAGAAAUAGGGAACAUGAGAAAUCUAGAGAUUUUGGACGUGAGUUAUAAUACACUUAAUGGUCCAAUCCCUCGGACAUUGGGUAGGUUAGCCAAGUUGAGGUCUUUGAUCUUUCAUGUGAACAAAAUCAAUGGAUCCAUACCUUUCGAAAUAAGAAAUUUGACGAACCUUGAAUAUUUAGAUCUUUCCUCUAAUAUCCUAGGUGGUUCAAUUCCUUCAACUCUGGGCCUUUUAUCCAAUUUGAAUUUUGUAGAUCUUUUGGGCAACCAAAUCAAUGGACCUAUCCCUUUAAAAAUAGGAAAUUUGACGAAUCUACAAUAUUUACAUCUCGGUGGCAACAAGAUCACUGGUUUCAUUCCUUUUUCAUUAGGCAAUUUAAAAAGCUUGACAAUGCUAGACCUCUCUCACAACCAAAUUAAUGGAUCCAUCCCUUUAGAAAUACAGAACUUGACAAAUUUGAAAGAAUUAUAUUUGAGUUCAAACAGUAUCAGUGGUUCGAUUCCUUCAACGUUGGGCCUUUUAUCCAAUUUGAUUUCUCUAGAUCUUUCCGACAACCAAAUCACCGGUUUGAUUCCUUUUUUGUUAGGCAAUUUAACAAGCUUGAUAAUACUAGACCUCUCUCACAACCAAAUCAACGGAUCCACCCCUUUAGAAACACAAAACUUGACAAAUUUGAAAGAAUUAUAUUUGAGUUCAAACAGUAUCAGUGGUUCGAUUCCUUCAACUUUGGGCCUUUUAUCGAAUUUGACUUUUCUAGAUCUUUCCAACAACCAAAUCACCGGUUUGAUUCCUUUUUUGUUAGACAAUUUAACAAGCUUGAUAAUACUAGACCUCUCUCACAACCAAAUCAACGGAUCCAUCCCUUUGAAAAUACAGAACUUGACAAAUUUGGAAGAAUUAUAUUUGAGUUCAAACAGUACCAGUGGUUCGAUUCCUUCAACUUUGAGCCUUUUAUCCAAUUUGAUUCUUCUAGAUCUUUCCUACAACCAAAUUACCGGUUUGAUUCCUUUUUUGUUAGGCAAUUUAACAAACUUGACAACUCUAUACCUUUCUCACAACCAAAUCAACGGAUCCAUCCCUUCAUCUUUGAAGUAUUGUAAUAAUUUGGCCUACCUAGAUUUGAGCUUCAAUAAUUUAAGUGAAGAGAUACCCUCCGAACUAUAUGAUUUGGACUCUUUACAAUAUGUGAAUUUUAGUUACAAUAAUCUCUCAGGCUCUGUUUCCUUGCCUUUGCCACCGCCCUUUAAUUUUCAUUUCACAUGUGAUUUUGUUCAUGGGCAAAUUAACAAUGAUUCUGCAACUUUAAAAGCUACUGCAUUUGAGGGCAACAAAGAUUUACACCCUGAUUUCUCACGUUGUCCAUCUAUUUACCCCCCACCUUCAAAAACCUACUUGUUGCCUUCAAAAGACUCCAGAAUAAUUCAUUCCAUCAAAAUAUUUCUUCCUAUCACCACCAUUUCACUUUGUCUCUUGUGUCUCGGAUGUUAUCUGUCUCGAUGCAAGGCUACCGAACCUGAGACAACAUCAUCAAAGAAUGGAGACUUGUUUUCCAUAUGGAAUUAUGAUGGGAGGAUUGCAUACGAAGACAUCAUUGCAGCGACGGAGAACUUUGACCUUAGAUAUUGUAUCGGAACCGGUGGUUAUGGGAGCGUCUACCGAGCGCAACUUCCAAGUGGGAAAUUAGUUGCCUUGAAGAAACUUCAUCGUCGAGAGGCAGAGGAGCCGGCUUUUGACAAGAGUUUCAAAAAUGAGGUGGAACUGCUCACACAAAUACGUCACAGGAGCAUUGUAAAGCUUUAUGGAUUCUGUUUGCACCAGCGCUGCAUGUUUCUUGUUUACGAGUACAUGGAAAAGGGAAGCUUGUUUUGUGCCUUGAGAAAUGAUGUUGGAGCUGUGGAAUUGAAGUGGAUGAAAAGAGCACACAUCAUCGAAGACAUUGCUCACGCAUUAUCUUACUUGCAUCAUGAGUGCAACCCACCAAUUGUUCAUCGAGACAUAUCAAGCAGCAAUGUUCUGUUGAAUUCAGAAUCCAAGUCUUUUGUUGCUGAUUUUGGUGUGGCUAGACUUCUAGAUCCGGAUUCGUCCAACCAUACUGUACUUGCUGGUACCUAUGGAUACAUUGCCCCAGGUAAAAAUAUUUCUUCUUAACAUACAUAUUUACCACUCAUGCACUGCAUAACUAAAGCAAACUCUCUGUUUUUUUUUUUUAUAUAUAUUUUUUAAUUUCGUUUUGUAUAUGGACAGAGUUGGCUUAUACUAUGGUGGUGACAGAGAAAUGUGAUGUGUACAGCUUCGGAGUUGUGGCGCUUGAAACUUUGAUGGGAAGGCAUCCGGGAGAUAUCCUAUCAUCAUCUGCUCAGGCUAUUACACUGAAAGAAGUGUUAGAUCCUCGUUUGCCACCUCCAACAAAUGAGAUUGUCAUACAGAAUAUAUGUACCAUUGCAAGUCUGAUAUUUUCUUGCUUACAUUCAAAUCCAAAAAAUCGACCUUCAAUGAAAUUCGUGUCUCAAGAAUUUCUAUCUCCCAAGAGAUUAUUGGGAGGUCUCGAGAUUUCUUUGUUGGAGCUGCGAAAUCUUGACAUGCACACAAAUGUUGGUGAGAUCACAGUUCCUCGCUGAAAAAGUUGUUGGAUUGGUUGCCAUUAAUGUGCAGCAACCAUUAAUGGACGGCACCGUCCAUUGACAAAUGCAGCAGCCCUUCCGGAAUGUCAAAGGUUGGCAGCCACCAUUGUUGAAGAUGGGCUGGAGUUGGUGGCCACCAUUGUUGACAAAAGAGCUGGAGGAGCUGUCAUGGAUGCCUAUAAAUAGAGGCAUACAUUAGAGAGCAAAAUGAGAGAGUGUGUAGAGCCAAAGAUGUGAGAAAUGUAGGAGAGAGUGGGCUGCCAAGGCAGCCAGCAGUAGCUACCAUUGCAACACUGAAAAGAGAGAAAUAGAGUGAGGUUGAGAGUUGCCAAAGAGGGGAUGAUUCCUCCUCCUCUAUUGUUGUAAAUCUUGUUCUCUCCCUAUAUAAUCAAAUGGCUUCUCCCGUGGAUGUAGGCGGUUUGCCGAACCACGUUAAAUAUUGUGUCAGUGUGCUUAGCCUCCAAUGGGCAAAUAUCAGAACAUCACCGGUCAGAAUUCCCUACAAUUGGUAUCAGAGCAUAUGGUUUGAAGUGGUGUUUGAUUUUUGCUAAAAAAUGAAAGUUGUCAAAAUUGUGUUUUGACCAUACCACUGUGUAGAGGAGGACGAGACGAAGCCACUGGUGAAAACGGCGUCAAAAUCGGACGUCGGACAUGGCCGCACUCUCCAUCACUCUCCGGUAAGGCGUCUGCCUACGCGCCCUACGCGUGCCACGCGUCUUUUUCGCCCGGAUGGGCUGACCCGACCCGAAUACCAGUUGACCCGACUCACAUGGCUGACCCGGAUAUUAAUUACGUCAGCAUGACAUAAUUGUGAUGUCAGCAUGCACAGUAGGCAUGCCAGGGAUGACAUCAGCCUGAUGUAAGUGUGAUGUCAGCAUGCACAGUAGGCAUGCCAUGUCAGCGCCCAGUCAGCUGCCACGUCAGCACAGUGGGACCACCUGCCACGUCAUCAGCCGCGAGCCGAGCUGAGUUGAGCCGAGCCAGUUGGAGCCGAGCUGAGUGGGAGCCGAGCCGCGAGCCGAGGGAUAGGAUCCAGCGUAGCGGAUCCUACGUGCAACCGGAUCUGAGAUUGAAUCUGAGCCGUUUAUCAGGCCAGAAUUGUUUUGAUCAAAUCUUAGCCGUCUGAAAUGCGAUUUGGAUGAUUUCAGACUUGUUUUCAGCUAAUUUGAUCAUUCUGGAUGCAAUGGUACGGUCCGAUCGUUGAGAUUGAGACUAGAAAUGAUGAUGGUGAAGUAUUAAGAGAGAUUGCCCGAUCAGGAGGCAUCUGAAGGUCAUCGUGGUGGUCGAUGGAGAUGAAGAAGAAGAAUCGCACAUGUUUACCCAAUUACAUGUGCUGAACUGCUAAGUGGGGAGAAAUUUUAAUUGCCUUGAGGGAAGGCAAAAUUGGGAUACUCUGGACACCUGAUCAUGUGGAUAAUUUGAGGUGAAGAGUGGAAAUUGAUGAAGACCAAUCUUGACGAAUCUAAGAACUGGUAGUCUCGCCAGAUGUUGAGAAAUCAGGUAUAAAACCGGGAUACCCCAGAUCACUUGUAAAGGAAAGCCGCAACAAAGCUAGCAAAUGGUUGUAUAUACGAAAAGGCAGUAUGGUGGAUAGAUACGUUCUAAGAAGUUCUGUCUAGGAGAUUGGGUUUUAAGCUGGACCAGUGUGACCCCUCCAAAUCUUUCCUGGGAACUUGCUUAGUUGAAGGAUCAUCCACACAGUACUAUUUUUAUAUAUGUAACAGUUUGUAAUGAAACUGUUGAAGACUAGCAAGAUGACGGCACAAAGGAACAGUUGGGUUCUGUAUGUUCAAGGAUCUGAUGGAGUGGUGAUUUCUCCAAAGAAGUUAGAUUCGGUGACUGUAAUUUCUCGAAGGGAGAAUUGAUGAAGACCCUGAUAAUGGAAGAGAAAUACACAAAGAGAUAAAGAUUGGCACCCUAUUUUGACUUGGAUAAAUGUUGUGACAGGAUGAGCUGCUGUCAAACAUAAAAGCAAAGAAUAGGGAGAAAUCUGGAGAACCGAAAUUGCACGAGAGCACACGGAGAUUGUGCAGGAGUACCCGAAGGAUCCAACGAGGUACUGUAAUGAGACAACAGAUGCAAGGAGAAGAAGAGUUCCCAGAUGAAGCUCAGAGCAGAGACUGUGUGAAAAGUUGUACAACAGGAAGUCUCUUGUGCUCUUGAUAAAGGCAACAAGCGAGGACCUUUCCAAUGCAUGCAAGGAUGGAAAGAUGAGCUGUUGCAGAAGCACUUAUUAAGGGGGUGCGACCGCCGAUGAAAGGCGAAGACACCAAAGAGAGUUGGUGUGGGAGGAGCUAUCAAGCAGAAAGGCAUAGAAGCUCCAAACAUAGAAAAUGAGAUUGCGAAGAGUGCACCACAACUCUCUCUUUCUAUGUGAUCAGUGACAAUGAUCUCUCCCAAGUCCACAUGGUGGUAGAGAAUCUUAGAGCCACUGGAGACAUCCCCGAUGAAGGAGGAUGUGACCGCUUCAUGACGGACGGAGACACCUCAGGCAGAAGGUGUGUGGGCCAUAAAACGAGCCCAAGUACAAACCGCCACAUGACGAUGAGCGGAGACACCUCAGGCAGAAGGUGUGUGGGCCAUGAAACUAGCCCAAGUAGAAACCACCGCAUGACGACGAGCAGAGACACCUCGGAUGGAAGGUGUGAGGACCAUGACAUGAGUCCAAGUUCAGACCGUCUCAUGACGACAGGCGGAGACACCUCGGAUGGAAGGUGUGAGGACCAUGAUAUGAGUCCAAGUUCAGACCGUCUCAUGACGACAGGCGAAGACACCUCAGAUAAAAGGUGUGGGGACCAUGAUAUGAGUAUUUUUCGGAUGGGGAAACCCGCUGUCUGGAAUUCAACGACCNNNNNNNNNNNNNNNNNNNNNNNNNNNNNNNNNNNNNNNNNNNNNNNNNNNNNNNNNNNNNNNNNNNNNNNNNNNNNNNNNNNNNNNNNNNNNNNNNNNNNNNNNNNNNNNNNNNNNNNNNNNNNNNNNNNNNNNNNNNNNNNNNNNNNNNNNNNNNNNNNNNNNNNNNNNNNNNNNNNNNNNNNNNNNNNNNNNNNNNNNNNNNNNNNNNNNNNNNNNNNNNNNNNNNNNNNNNNNNNNNNNNNNNNNNNNNNNNNNNNNNNNNNNNAUGAUGGCUGGAUAUAAGUGGACAAAUGUAUAGCCAAUAAAGAGGCUAUGAUGAGUAUGGAGACAAAUGCAGGAUUGAUUUUCAUGGAUAUUGCCCCCAUGCUAAAGAUCAAUGAGCUAGAAGACAUUUGCCUUGGACAAUAAGUGGAUGGCUUGUGGAGCAUUAAGACGCGACUGCUAUGAAGGAGCAGAGGGCAUGCGCAGGUUCCGGGAACAAGUUGACUCUUGUCAAGGUGGUGAGCUCAGUAAUGACAUUAUAAUACUCAGAGUAUGAAGAUAGAGAUGAAUCAACCUUUAAUGGGCUGUCCCCAUGGUUAAAAGGGAGAGCCACCUGGACUCUUGAGACUAAGAGCGGAAGACUCACGGAAAAGUAAGGCGUGGUUCCUAGGGAGGAACAAAGAGCAGACGCAACUCCGGGAUGAGUAGACUCUUGGAAGAGUGGUGAGCUUGUGAUCACAUUAAAAUACUCAAUGACUGUCGCACUUGGAAAUAUCCGUUUGAGGGGGUGUUGUAAGCCUUGGUGUAAGGCUUGAUAAAUCAUUCCGGGCCAAGCAUGGUUGAUAUGCUUGAAGGGGGAUGUUGUUCCAGAGACAAGCGUUAAACACUCUUCAGAUGAGAUAUGACAAACCAUCUGGUUGAAGUGAUCCUUUGGAGUGAGCAAAGGGGUGCUUGGAUGACUCUGGUGAUUGAAAGGUUUGGCAAGUACCUGGAAACUUGGCCAAAGACGCUCUCAAAAUUGUAAGCUUGGAAGAGCUGCAGAAUGCAAGCAUGUGCUGAAAAAGCAAGAGGACAAUUGCCCACAUAAAUGGCAAAGGGGGUGAUUGUUGGGUUGGUUGCCAUUAAUGUGCAGCAACCAUUAAUGGACGGCACCGUCCAUUGACAAAUGCAGCAGCCCUUCCGGAAUGUCAAAGGUUGGCAGCCACCAUUGUUGAAGAUGGGCUGGAGUUGGUGGCCACCAUUGUUGACAAAAGAGCUGGAGGAGCUGUCAUGGAUGCCUAUAAAUAGAGGCAUACAUUAGAGAGCAAAAUGAGAGAGUGUGUAGAGCCAAAGAUGUGAGAAAUGUAGGAGAGAGUGGGCUGCCAAGGCAGCCAGCAGUAGCUGCCAUUGCAGCACUGAAAAGAGAGAAAUAGAGUGAGGUUGAGAGUUGCCAAAGAGGGGAUGAUUCCUCCUCCUCUAUUGUUGUAAAUCUUGUUCUCUCCCUAUAUAAUCAAAUGGCUUCUCCCGUGGAUGUAGGCGGUUUGCCGAACCACGUUAAAUAUUGUGUCAGUGUGCUUAGCCUCCAAUGGGCAAAUAUCAGAACAUCACCGGUCGGAAUUCCCUACAAAAGUCAACUUCGAGCUCACAUGGAACUUCAACGAGAGCCUCCAAGAGCAUGCGUUUAUAGUAUUUCUUAAAUUUGGAUGAACUGUUUGUUCUUUUGUUUUGUUUUAGCACACUACAUGUCUUUGUAAUUUUAAUAAUGCACACUUUUCUUUUGCAUGAUAGUAUCAAUAUACAUGAGCAUCAUAUUAAGUCUACCUCUCUGUACGUCUAGGUUAAAUUGAAAUCAUCACUCAUCUUAUAAUUAGGCAAAUCCACACUUGAAAUAUGCAGAAGAUAUUUGUUAACUCCAUUAAUUUGUCCCUGCAAGCUCUUGUAUAAUAGAUGCCUGAAAGCAGUGUUUGGAUCUACUCUCUACAGUCUGUUCUGACUCCUGUCACUAUCUGAGCAACAUGUUUUGCUCUUUUUUUUUUUCUGAAUCAAGCACCUUAUUAUUUAUCAUUGGGCACAGACGGAAUUUUCAAUCAUCUUCCACUCCAAAGGAAGAUUUACGUCUCAUGUUUGGAACCAAGCUUUGACUUCAAAGAAUGGUGAAUUGAGAUGUCCUCCCUCCACCAUAUCUAUCUAGUAGUAAUACACAACAUUGUGCGUAGCUGUACAGGAUGCCUAGCUAUAGAUUAUUUUCAGUCUCAGAGACAUUUACUAACAGAGAAAAUAUAUCAUAGUAUCCGAUUAUGAGCACAUGAUUUCUUCGUAUCAGCAUCUGAUUUAUAAAAGAUUGAAACCAAUUUUUAAAGUUGCAACUGUCCUGAUGCUCUUAGACAAGCCAGGAAAAAAAAAUUAUUUGGAGCAUCAUAUUUUUCCAUAGAUCGUAUAUGCUAAAUGUUUUACAUGGUGUAAUUAUAACAAAUGAUUAUAUGACAGUUCAUAUUCACCUGCAUGAAAGCUCUAUAUAUAUACCCAUUAAUUAUCUUGGUGACAAUUGACAAGUCGCCGAUGCAAUUCUGCAAUUAUAUUAGAAUGCAAGGAUAAUAUAUUUAUUUAGGAUUUUAUUAAUUAUCCCAUGGCUGUAUAUAUAUUCAAUAAUUUUCUUUAAUGAUUACAGCCCCGCAUCAGUUUCUUUCUUGUUCGAGGCCUUCAAUUGAACCUAAACAAAAACAAACUAUACAAACAUGUAUACGAAACGAAGCCCAAGCAGCUAUUGGCUAAGUCUUUUUAUACCAGCGCGGUAUUUCUAAUUCUUGCAAGAAUCGUACAGGACUGGAGGGUAAUAUCACUAACAAUCCAUUUUUUAUUUUACUAUAAUUAUUUUUUAUUUGAAAAUAUAUUUAAAUAAUUUUUUUUGUAUUUUUAAAAUUUUAUUUUUAACAUAGCUCAUCAAAAAAAUCUAAAAUCAUAAAAAAAUAAUUUAAAGCAAAAACAUAAAAUAAAAUAAUUAUUUUUUUAAAUGCUUUUAAAACUAAAAAAUAAACAACAAACUAGGUCUAAAAUUACGAGAAUACACAAACAUUGUAAUAUUAUUAAUUUUAAUUUAUACUACUUUUUUGUUCUUAUCUUUAUUCUUUUGUAAUUUGUUUUCUUGAAAUAUUAUUAUAUAAAGACUAAAAAAAUGAUGUUUCAAUAUAGUAAUUGUCACAUUGUUUCAUUUUUAUACUGCAUUAAAAAUAAGCUUGAGAUCUUGCAUUUCUUUACCAACUCAUAUGAUCUUCACUGAAUUUUAUUAUAUGUAAGUUUUGACUUUUUAUUUCACAAUUAUAUUGUUUACUCGCCGUCAAAAAACACAUUAAUUCAUUUACGUUAGAAAAAAAAAAAUCAACUUGCAGCUGGACAAAUAUAAUAGACACGUUAACAUUUUUUCCUGUAUUUAUCUGAAGAGAUGAUUCUCGAUUUAUUUAAUUAAAUGCAUGUAUAUGCCUUUCGAUUUACAAUUAGAUUUAUUUUUGUACAAAAACACAUUUGAAAAGCUUGCAUAUGUUUUUUCUUCAAAAAAAAUUAUCUAACCCGUAGAGAAGUGCAUGUCAAAUAACUAGUAGUAUAAACUAAAAGAAGCGAUGAUUUUACUAUACGUCACCUCACAAAACACUAUUCAUUCUAAUAGUGCUUUCCCCCUUUUUUUUUUUCAAACUUAUGUUUUUUCUAAUUUCAUACUUUAACAUUUAGUUUCUUGGAGAUUGAGCUUCGUAAUUUAUUUUGAUUUGCUUUAUACAUGGGUCUAGUCUUAUAAUCUAUGUCAAAGGUUUGGCGGGUUAACUCGGUUGAUUCGAGUUUUUUUUUUAAUUGAUAUUUUUUUUUCAAUCUCAUCCUUCAACAUUGUGUUGAUUGAGAAUUGUGCUUCAUGAUUUUUUUUGGUUUGUUUUUUAUGAGGUUAUCUCAAUUUCAUGACUCAAGUUGCGAGUUUGGCUGGUUAACCUAGUUGACUCGAGUUUUUUUUGUAUUUAUUAAUUGAUAUUUUUCCAAUUUCAUCUUUCAGCAUUAAGUUGAUUAUGAAUUAAGCUUCAUGAUUUAUUCUGAUUUGUUUUCUAUGAGUUGAUUCCAGUCUUAUGACUUGGAUCACGUGUUUUACAGGUUACCCGUGUAGACUGAGGUCGUUUUAUUAUAUCCAGUUUUUAGAUUGAUUUUUUCUCUCUUCAAUUUCAACUUUCAGCAAUGGGUUUAUUGAAAAUCAAAUUUCAUAAUUUAUUUUGAUUUAUUUUCUAUGACUCAUGUUAUUUUUUUAUUUACUUUCUAUAAGGUUAUCCUGAUUUCUUGAUCCGGAUCACGAGUUUGACAGUUUAACUCAAGUCAUUUUUUUGUCAUUUUUUAUUUUCUUUUUAUUUUAUCCUUUAAUAUUUGUUUGAUUUGAAAUCAGACUUCAUAUUUUUUUUGGUCUUGCUUUCUAUAAAAUUAUCAUGGUUUCAUUAUCAAGGUCACAAUUUGGCAAGUUAACCCAGGUUGACUAAGGUUUUUUUUGUUUUUAUUUUUUUUAAUUUCAUCCCUAAAUAAUGAGAUUUCUUAUCUCGAGUCGCAGGUUAACUCAGGUUUGUUUGCCAUUUUUUUAGUUUAAUUUUUUUUCUUAAUUUUAUCCUUCAAUAUUUGGUUGACUGGGGAUUAAACUUCAUAUUUGUUUUUGCUUUCUAUGAGGUUAUCUCGGUCUUAUUACAUAGGUCACGAGUCUGGCUGGUUAACCUGAAUUAACUCAAUUUUUUUAAUUGAUUUUUUUUAAUUUCAUCCUUUAAUAUUGGAUUGAUCGAGAAUUGAACUUCAUAAUUUAUUUUGAUUUAUUUUAUAUAGAGUUAUUUCUAUCAUAUGAUCCAGAUGAUAGGUUUGACAGGUUAAUAAGAAUUAACACAAAUUAUUUAUUUUUUAAUUUUUUUAAUUAAUUUUUUUUAAUUUUAUCAUUUAAUAGUUAUUUAAUUUGAAAUUAAGUUAUCUCUUCACAGUGCCCUCAAUUAUUUCUUCAUAAAGUCUGAGAUAUCUCUUCACAUUGCCCUCAAUUAUUUGGUUGUGUCAUCUAGCAGGACUCUUCUGAGAACGAGAGAGAUUUCUUUGGAUCUGAUGAUUUUGGUCUAAAGCCAAUCAGAACAGAAUCCACGGCAACAACGAAUAAUUUCCAGAAAAAGAGUAUAUUUUUUGAAGAAUCUGUUGCAGGUUCUCCAAUGUCAAGAUUUGGCAACUCUCCAAGGUUCAGCGAAGCAGGGGACCAUUUUGACAAUUACUCGAGAUUUGAUUCUUUCAGCAUGAAUGAAGGGGGCUUUUCACCACGAGAAGAGCUUACAAGGUUCGACUCCAUAAACAGUUCCAAAGAUUUUGGCCACAGUCGUGCAUUCUCUUCAUUUGAUGAUGGAGAUCCAUUUGGCUCCAGUGCCCCCUUUAAGGUUUCAUCUGAAGAUCAAACUACCAAAAAGAGUUCUGGCAAUUGGAGUUCUUUCUAGCAGCAAUCUGGUUUUCCCCUCCCUCUCUCUCUCUCCAUUUUUUUUUACGGUUGCCAAUUUUUGUUUGUGCUGUAUAGAUUGUGUUGAAAUGCUGCAUUGUUGUAAAGUUAUUCAUCAUGGCCUUGCGUCAUUUUUAUUUUGCUGAAGUAAAAAAACUUUGUUUGGGGAGCAUCCAGAUAAAAGAUAGAAUGCUUGUUCUUUUGAGUGGCAAAUUCUUGAGACCAAUAAAAACUGAGUAGUUUGAGAAAACAAUGAUUCUUGGCAUUCCAUCAACUCACAUUGCUCAAAUUGCAUUUUAUUUGAAGCUGCCUGCUUCACUAUGACUGUUGGCAUUCCCUUUCUUCAUUUUUAAUUUUUGGUGCUACGAGUUGUUUAACAAUGUAAGCUAGGCAGUAAACACCGGUUUUGGAGGCGCGUGACCUUCCUUAAGGGUUUUGACCACGCGCUUCCUUGGAUAUUUCUAUUAUCCAGAUGAGCUCGGCUACUAGGCCGUGUCUGAAUGAGAUUAUGGGCUCGUUAGCUGGGCCUUUUCCAUAUUGGAAAGUUCUGGACUCUUAUUGGGUUUUGCAUGUUGGAUUUGGCUCCGAUUAGAUGAUUUUUUGGUGAAUCUAUUUUAUCUAUAACGUAGUAAGUAAAUAGCUAUUCCCGGAAUAAUAAAGGAAUGUUGAAGUUGAUUCGGCUUUU
rnacentral:lncRNA from 1 species